AACGCACAUGGCGCCUUCCAGUAUCCUGGGAGGCAUGCCUGUCCGAGCGUCGUUUCAACCCUCGAGCCCUCGUGGCCCGGCGUUGGGGAUCUGCCACGGCAGGCCCCUAAAACCAGUGGCGGACCCGAAGGGCCCUCUCCUUUGCGCAGUAGCAUUCGCCUCGCAUUGGGAGUCCUCGGCGUCCUGCCUCUAAACCCCCCACAAGCCCGCUUCGGCGGCACCAAGGUUGACCUCGGAUCAGGUAGGAAUACCCGCUGAACUUAA
rnacentral:misc_RNA from 1 species